AGUAGUUUCUAAUCAUAAUUCUUGUGGUUAAUGCCAGUGAGGGUGAACUUUGAGUUCAUUAACAAACUCGGCGUAGAUUGGUGGUGUUUCCACGACAGGGACAUUGCCCCUGAUGGUAAAACACUUGAGGACUUGGGGCUACCUGAAUUAGGGGACUUUGCAAACUGAAGUUUGGGCUACCUGAAUUGGGGGAUUUUGCAGGACUUGGGGCUAUCUGAAUUGGGGGACUUUGCAAACUGAAGUUUGAGCUACCUGAAUUAGGGGAUUUUGCAGGACUUGGGGCUACCUGAUAAGAUGAAGUGCAGUGUCUGCAUGGUGUUAUGCUUUCUAUGUAUUUCAUUCUAUGGUUUGUUAUUUGGUGGAGGAAAAACUAGACCAGUUGGUUUGUUAGUUGUCUGUUUCGGAUUCGAAUUUGGUGUAACCCCUUGAUUGUUCAAUGACAAUGUCCUAUAUGUA